rnacentral:rRNA from 1 species
UACGUAGGGGUCCGAGCGUUUGUCCGGAAUUACUGGGCGUAAAGAGCUCGUAGGUGGUUUGUCGCGUUGUUCGUGAAAACUCACAGCUCAACUGUGGGCGUGCGGGCGAUACGGGCAGACUAGAGUACUGCAGGGGAGACUGGAAUUCCUGGUGUAGCGGUGGAAGUGCGCAGAUAUCAGGAGGAACACCGGUGGCGAAGGCGGGUCUCUGGGCAGUGAACUGACGCUGGAGGAGCGAAAGCGUGGGGGAGCGAACAGG